GACCCUAUGGGAAAUGCAUACAAAUGACUUCUUUUAGAGAACCACUGAAUGGAAUAAAACCAAACAUGGCAUGAACGUUCCUUAUGAGGUGCUGACCAUGAGUUGUUACUUUGUAGCCGAUCCAUCAUCCAAGAUGGUCGCCAUCGGGGAACUUAGUUUAACAUAGGACCCUAUGGGAAAUACAUACAAAUGUCUUCUUUUAGAGAACCACUGAAUGGAAUGAAACCAAACAUGGCAUGAAUGUUCCUUAUGAGGUGCUGACCAAGUGUUGUUACUUUGUAGCCGAUACAUCAUCCAAGAUGGCCGCCAGCGGGGGACUUAGUUUAACAUAGGACCCUAUGGGAAAUGCAUACAAAUGACUUCUUUUAGAGAACCACUGAAUGGAAUAAAACCAAACAUGGCAUGAACGUUCCUUAUGAGGUGCUGACCAAGUGUUGUUACUUUGUAGCCGAUCCAUCAUCCAAGAUGGCCGCCAGCGGGGGACUUAGUUUAACAUAGGACCCUAUGGGAAAUGCAUACAAAUGACUUCUUUUAGAGAACCACUGAAUGGAAUGAAACCAAACAUGGCAUGAAUGUUCCUUAUUAGGUGCUCACCAAGUGUUGUUACUUUGUAGCCGAUCCAUCAUCCAAGAUGGCCGCCAGCGGGGGACUUAGUUUAACAUAGGACCCUAUGGGAAAUGCAUACAAAUGACUUCUUUUAGAGAACCACUGAAUGGAAUAAAACCAAACAUGGCAUGAACGUUCCUUAUGAGGUGCUGACCAAGUGUUGUUACUUUGUAGCCGAUACAUCAUCCAAGAUGGCCGCCAGCGGGGGACUUAGUUUAACAUAGGACCCUAUGGGAAAUACAUAAAAAUGUCUUCUUUUAGAGAACCACUAAAUGGAAUGGAACCAAACAUGGCAUGAAUGUUCCUUAUGAGAUGCUGACCAAGUAUUGUUACUUUGCAGUCGGUCCAUCAUCCAAGAUGGCUGCCAGCGGGGGACUUAGUUUAACAUAGGACCCUAUGGGAAAUACAUACAAAUGUCUUCUUUUAGAGAACCACUGAAUGGAAUGAAACCAAACAUGGCAUGAAUGUUCCUUAUGAGGUUCUGACCAAGUGUUGUUACUUUGUAGCCGAUCCAUCAUCCAAGAUGGCCGCCAGCGGGGGACUUAGUUUAACAUAGGACCCUAUGGGAAAUACAUACAAAUGUCUUCUUUUAGAGAACCACUGAAUGGAAUGAAACCAAACAUAACAUGGCAUGAAUGUUCCUUCUGAGGUGCUGACCAAGUGUUGUUACUUUUCAGUCGGUCCAUCAUCCAAGAUGGUCGAC